CCAAGCUGCUACCAGAGGGCGUGCCACCACUUCUCUGUGAGCAAGAGGGCCCUACAGUGUCCCCAGCUGUCAGCAGGGAGUGUGCUGCCAAUACACUCUGAGCAACAGCACCCUAAGUGCCCCCAGCAGCCAGCAGGGGGCAUGUCACCACCACACUGUGAGCAAGAGGGCCCGGCAGUGUCCCUAGCUGCCAGCAGGGGGCACAGGGCACCAAUCCCGGGAGUAUGAGGACCCUGCAAUGGUGUGGUUGCCAGCAUCGGGUGUGCUGCCAGAACACUGUGAGCAAGAGGGCCUUGCAGUGCCCUCAGUGGCAAGCAGGGAGAGUGCCGCCCCUACACCUCGAGCAAGAGAGCCUGUCAGCACAGGCAUCACAUCAUAAGAGGACUCUACAUUGCCUUGCUUGCCAGCAGGGGGUGUGGUGUCACGACAUUGUUUGCAAGAGGGCCAUGUAGUGCCCUGGAUGCCAGCAGGGGAUGCAGGUCACCACACUAUAAGAGGGCACUGCAAUGGCCCGAUUCGCCAGCAGGGGGCGCGAGCACAGCACCAUGAGCAGGAGGGCCCUGCAGCGCCCGGUCUUUUCAGAUUCCUGAGAUUCUGUCUUCCGUGCGUCCCGGGUCUGUGGAGUUGCGUCCUCUUCAGUGCAUACCUCGGGCGGGGGCCUCUGCGAGUGUGGAGCUGCGUCUUCUUCAGCACAGACCCGGGGGUGUCGUUCGGGGGGCACCGCGAUGGCGAAGCUGCGUUUUCCUUAGCACCGACCCUGCUAGCAUUGUGCAGUCAGAGCAGCGUUGUUAGCGGAGUCCUCGGGGACACCACUCGCUUUGUGACGACUCCAGGCCGUGUCCACGGAGAGAAAACGAGGCAGAAGGACUUGUGGGCCCGACUCACCAGCUCCAUCCUCAGGAACUCGAGGACCAUCAAGUUCCAUGGCUGCGAGUGA
rnacentral:lncRNA from 1 species